rnacentral:pre_miRNA from 1 species
UAAAUACUCAUUCCGUUCCAAAAAUCUUGUCUUAAAAUUAUCUAUAUAUGAAUAUAUCUAGUCACAUCUUAGUAUUUAGAUACAUCUAUUUUUAAACAAAAGACAAGAAUUUUGGACGGAGGGAGCAUAAA